UACAGAGGGUGCGAGCGUUAAUCGGAAUUACUGGGCGUAAAGGGUGCGUAGGUGGUUAAUUAAGUUAGAUGUGAAAGUCCUGGGCUUAACCUGGGGAUUGCGUCUAAUACUGAUUAGCUAGAGUACUGUAGAGGAAAGUGGAAUUUCCGGUGUAGCGGUGAAAUGCGUAGAUAUCGGAAGGAACACCAGUGGCGAAGGCGACUUUCUGGACAGAUACUGACACUGAGGCACGAAAGCAUGGGGAGCAAACAGG
rnacentral:rRNA from 1 species